rnacentral:rRNA from 1 species
CCUUCUUCACACCCUGUUUUACGUUAAUUAAUUCAGUUUUGGAAGAGCAAGGGGUCGAUUUUUUCGACCCCUUUUUUUACUCUAAAUCCUUUUUUGUCCAAAUUUCAGAAAGUGAGCUAACGCAUGAAAUCAGCCGCCUGGGGACUACGGCCGCAAGGCUAAAAUUUAAAGGAAUUGACGGGGGCUUACACAAGCGGUGGAGCAUGUGGUUUAAUUCGAAACAACGCGCAGAACCUUACCAAUCCUUGCAAUAUACAGGAAACAACUGUUACAAGUUGUCUUUUGGUAUACAGGCGCUGCAUGGCUGUCGUCAGUUCGUGGCGUGAGCUGUUGGGUUAAGUCCUAGAACGAACGCAACCCUCUUAGCAUGUGCAAUAAUGUUGCCUUGCUAAACUGCCAGUGACAUACGGGAGGAAGGAGAGGAUGACGUCAAGUCCGCAUGGCCCUUAUGGGUUGGGCUACACACGUGCUACAAUGGCGAACACAAAGGGAUGCAAGAUGGCAACAUGGAGCAAAUCCUCAACUUUCGUCGUAGUUCGGAUUGUUCUCUGCAACUCGAGAACAUGAAGUUGGAAUCGCUAGUAAUCGUAGAUCAGCAUGCUACGGUGAAUUUGUAUCUAAGCCUUGUACACACCGCCCGUCACACUCUGAAAAUUUUGAUGCCUUGAAGCCGAAGAAAUCCACAACGAACAUACCUACAUUAGAAAUUCAAUUAACUUGAUUGAAUUAAACAGAAAGAACGUUUUUUUGUUGCGUCUCGCGGGUGUCAUUGGAGGGGUCUUUUCUAGAGUUAGGGGAGUGAUUGGAGUGAAGUCGUAACAAGGUAGCCGUAGGGGAACCUGUGGCUG